UAUCUGAUUGAUUCUGUCAGCGCUAUAUGCUUACGUAAAAGACUAAGCCAUGCAUGUUCUGUUCAACUAACGGUGAAACUGCGAACGGCUCAUUAGAGCAGAUGAUCAU
rnacentral:ncRNA from 1 species